AUGAAGUUAAUAGUUCGUCAUAAUUAUUAUAUUCAUAGAAUUUGAAAGAUUAACACAUCUAUUUUAUAUUUAAUAUACAAACGAGAAAUAUAUUAUAUAACACAAAGAAGAGCUCGUGUCAGUUCACAAAUUAGGCUACUACUUAAGACGAUUGUUCUUCUGUUAUAAAUUAUUUACGAUGUCACUGCUGGACCAGCGUUUAGCGAUAUGAGCCUGCGAUAUGCGCUUAACUUGCAAUACAAGUAUUUUACUCUUCUAGUACGUGAUCAGCCGUUAUCAGCGUCGGCGACAAGAGAUAACUCCAACAACAGAAAGAACUGAAAUGUGUAUGCAUCAUAGUCAUAUGGUAUACCACAUGUAUAGAAGAUUGGAUUAUUGGAUAGAUUUCAAUUUCAGCAACAAAUAUGUGUGCAUUACAAAGCAGCAAUAAGUUUGGAAGCAAUAAGUUUUUAAAUUAGAUGUACUUAGACACUGAAAGUGCUCCUACUUGAGUUCGAGAACUCCGCUUUUUUUAGGACACUUGAAUAAAAGUGAUUAUAAAGUCAA